rfam:HIV-1 isolate ARCH014 from Argentina gag protein (gag) and pol protein (pol) genes, partial cds; vif protein (vif), vpr protein (vpr), tat protein (tat), rev protein (rev), vpu protein (vpu), envelope glycoprotein (env), and nef protein (ne
UUUUUUAGGGAAAAUUUGGCCUUCCAACAGUGGGAGGCCCGGGAAUUUCCUU